rnacentral:rRNA from 1 species
AGUGAACGCUGGCGGUAGGCCUAACACAUGCAAGUCGAACGGCAGCACAGUAAGAGCUUGCUCUUACGGGUGGCGAGUGGCGGACGGGUGAGGUAUACAUCGGAAUCUACUUUUUCGUGGGGGAUAACGUAGGGAAACUUACGCUAAUACCGCAUACGACCUACGGGUGAAAGCAGGGGAUCUUCGGACCUUGCGCGAUUGAAUGAGCCGAUGUCGGAUUAGCUAGUUGGCGGGGUAAAGGCCCACCAAGGCGACGAUCCGUAGCUGGUCUGAGAGGAUGAUCAGCCACACGGGAAGUGAGACGCGGUCCAGACUCCUGCGGGAGGCAGCAGUGGGGAAUAUUGGACAAUGGGGGCGAGCCUGAUACAGCCAUACCGCGUGGGUGAAGAAGGCCUUCGGGUUGUAAAGCCCUUUUGUUGGGAGAGAAAAGCAGCAGGUUAAUACGACGCUGUACUGACGGUACCGGAAGAAUAAGCACCGGCUAACUUCGUG